rnacentral:lncRNA from 1 species
UCUUAUCCUAUCAAAACUCUUCGCAGUGAUAAUGCCUUGGAGUAUAAAGACUCCACUUUUCUUUCCUUUCUCUUCCAAGAGGGCACUCUUGUUCAACGCUCUUGUCCUCCUCGUACUUCUCAACAAAAUGGGUGUGCUAAGAGCAAACAUUAUCACAUUUUUGACUCAGUUCGUUCGUGCUCUCCUUCUUUCUGCCUCCUAUUCUAAAAAAUUUUGGUUUAAUUAUGUUCCCAGUUACAAUGGGUCAUAGUUUUUGUCCAAUUAGAAAACUUUUCAUUUGAUUUGUCCAAGUGAUGUAGUUUGUUCCAUCAAGUAUUGUGCUAAUGGGUUUGAUAAUAUGGUCUCUCUGAAAAAAAAUCUCACUUGUAAGAGUAACUGAGUAAGCAGGAGCGUCAACCACAAAUCACGGCUAACGUGGACGAAUCGGGUUUGCAGUUGGAGUUUCGUCGAAUCUGGUUUGGAUUCGUGGCUGGGGUUGCGAACUUGCAAACUCGACUUGAGUUCGUGGUUGGAUUGCGACUGGUUGCAAAACACGGAUGCGUGACGGACGAAGACGAACGUGAAUCAGAGUUGAGAACGGACGUGUGACGGACGCGCGAUUCUGGGUUCGACGGAUCUGGGUUCGUCGAAUUUGGGUUCGUCGGAUCUGGUUUGCAAGAGUCCAACAUGUGGAUUGUUGAACGGAGACGAGGUUCGUGACUGUGAGAUAUAUUCUUCAGAUCUGAAAAAGAGACUUGCAUACAGAGACCGAUAGGGGACGACAUGAGAUCUAAUAGUCGUCAAUGGCUUCACGGCAGAGAUCUCGACAGCGGCGGCAAGAGGUACGCUGGAUCUCGACGGCGGCGACUAUACAAUAACCCUAGGUUAAAAGUUCUGAUACCAUGUUAAUCAAUAUGUGGAUCAAUAUUUUAUUGAUUAAGAUUUCUAUGUAAUUUUACAACAAUGUGACUAAACAAAUAAGAACCCUAUACAACAUAACUAAGGUAACAAAUGUAAUUAAGCCUAAAAGGAAGAAUUUACAUUAAUAAUUUUCAUUGAACAAUUUAAAGAAGGGGGAAGUAGUUAUUUAUGACCAUAUGACAUUCAUGCUUCAAGCCAAACAUAUGCUUUUCAUUUUUUCAAAGUCAUAAACAAUUAAUUACGAUAACACACUAUAAUUAUCCUAAAAAGAAAAAUAAUAUUAUAUUUUGUGAAAGUUUUUUAUUUUCCGUCUUUUCCGGUCAAAAAUGCGAAAUUUUCUAUUUUGUGACAGUUUUUUAUUUUCCCAUUCAUUUUUUGAGAUAUAUACCUGUCAUAGUAGACAAGUUUUCUUCUAGUGAAUAAUAACAAUAAUAGCACACAAUGAAAUUGUUUAUGGGCUAAACUGAGAGUUUUGAAGUAUGAAACUUCGUGGGGUUAAAAGAAACAUGUACUUCAAAUGCAAAAUUAUUGCUUAAUCUAAAAUUAGGAAGUCUGUUUUUUGGUGCAAACUUAUUAAGUUAUGGCUUUUCAAUUGGAUUGGUUGGCUAAAUCACAAUUGCAAGAAGAAAGGUUUAGUCCAUUCAAAGUUCUCCAUCAUAAAGUGUUGAUCACUGAAAUCGAAGUUUGGGAUAGUCUUAAUCGAUCAGGCGGAAUAUGUACUCAUCAGGAUAUGUUCACCAAGAUCGGUCUCAAGCUAGGGCGUUUUAAUCGGAUUGGAUGGAUAUAUAUUUGUUAUGUGAUGAGUUUGUGCUCCCAACAAAGUGAAACAUGAUGUAAGUAAAAAGUUACAAAUUUGUAUGAAUGAUCCAUCUUUAGGGGUUACAAUUGUACAAAGAUGAUCAUUCGUAUCGAGAAACUCUUAUUUUGUAAUUCGUAAACAUUUUUAUCUUUCUUUUAAAUAAUUUUCGUAAGGUUAAAAUAUAAAAAACUUACAUUAUAAGUUUGGUGACAUUGUUAAUCUUUAUUUUGUUUUUAUUAAAAAUGUGUUCUAAUAAAUUUUUAACGAUUAAAUUUAAAUUUUUUAAAAAAUAAUUCUUCAAUUUAUAUAUACUAGAACUCUAAAUCCAAAAUUUUUAAAAAUAAAAAUAUCAAGUUCAACUAAAUAAUCACACACGUUCUACAAAGUUUAAGAAUUAAAAUUGUAAACUUAACCUUAAAGAAUUGAAUUUUGUUGAGUUGUUUAAAAAAUAUUUAUAUUCUCUCAAAAGUUGUAUUAAUAUUUUUGACAUUUUUCUAAAUAUUUUGAAUUACCUUUGAGAACAAAUUUGUUUGAAUGAUGGAUGGAAAUUGGGCUAAAUGGGUGUAGCAAUGACUUGUAAUGAUUUCACCUGUCCUUUUUAGUCUCCAUUUUCCAUUGGAGUUCAUCACCAUCACUAACUUUCGAGUAAAAAUUAUGUUUAUGUCCACGACUUUUAUCCAAAUGUAUGUUUUAAAAAAACUAAACAUGACUUCUUUCAAAAUUGACUUUGUUUUUCCUUUCAAAGUCCGACCGAGGAACUUUUUCUUUUGUUCUUACGCAAUUUCUACUCCAAAGCAAUUUUAAAGAGUAUCAACCAAAAUGUUACAACUUUAGAAAGAAUUAAUAUUUUAAGAACAAAUGGGACAAACUCUAAAGGUUCUUUUAUUUUUCUUUGAAAAAGAACUUAUCAAAGUAAAUUUUUUAAGUCAAUAAAUGUGCAAGCCAAUAAAUUGGAAGCUUAACAUGACCUAGUAAAUAACACGUUUAUUUUAUAGGAGGUAAUUAAUAGCUUUUAACCCAAAAACUAAACAUGAGUGUUAAUAUAUAUAAUGUUUUAUUGAAGAAAAAAACAAUUGAUAUUUAUGAAGGAGAAAUGAGAGUGAAAAAGGGUGGUAUAGUUAGUGAGGUUGUUGGAAUUUUGAAUGAAAGAGAAGAUUGUUUAAGCUAUGGUAUUGAAGAAAUAAAUAGAGUCAUUAGUGACAAAAGAAACAAUUAAUUUAGUGAGAAUUAAAAUUGAGAGAGAUUGAAAGGGAAAAAAAGAAGAAGAUAAGAGUUUAAGUUAUGGGGUUUUAUUUUACAUUUAUAAGAUUUCCAUUUUCAAUCAAGUGUUUCAUAUAAUUUAAUUAAUUAGUUGACUUUAAUAUCUUCCUAUCAAUCUAUAAUGGCAUCUGAGUCUUACAUUUAUUCACAUGUUUCUUGUUGAGCUAUUGUACAAAAGUUAGUAGAGGAAGAAAGUUCAUAUUAAUUUUGUGUAAUAUAAUAAUUGAGUAGUUAACUUAUUUGAUCUUUAUGAUGUUGAAUUGUGUCCAAAUAGGAUACCUACUGACUCAGCAAAAAGAAAAAUACCAACUAGGAAAUUUCAUAUUUGAGUCUUGGAAAUGGAGUUAGCUUUUGAACAACCAUGCUCCACCAGCCUAACAAAAGUACCUAAUAUGUCCCAAUCUAGAAAAAAUACCAAAGGGGCAUUUCCCAAUCUAAUGCGUUAAAUGAUAAUUUUAAUGUAACUUUGAAAUUCUAUUAGAAAGGACUUAUACCUAUCAAUGCAACACUAUCAAUGCAACAUGAUAGUUUCAAAAAAGAGUAAAUUUAUUCUAAUACUCAAACUCUCAACUUGCUACACUUAAUUAUACCGCACCCAUGUACAAAUCUUAACAUCUUACAAUCCAAUUUUCUCACCAAAAUUGAAUUUUAUAUUUGGCCAUUCAACAAUAACUAUUAAUUAGUUAUAGAAAGGUUUGUACAAGUGUGUGACAACAACUAGUUAGAAUAUAAUUAACUUGUUAACUUUUAGUCAUUCAACUUGAGAUUGUGUAUUUAAUAUUCCGUAAAUUUUUUGAAUAACAUAUAUCACUAAUUUUUUUAAUUUCAUUAAAAUAUAGUUGAUGGAAGAUCUACUCAGUACAAAAUUAAAAGCUCAAAGUUCUAUUACGUUUAAGUUAUAUGUAGUGACUAUAAAGUGGCUAAUUAAUUUUAGUUUAAAAAAUUUCAAGAUGUUAUAUUGUGGUUGAGAAAUUUAUUAUACAUUUUCUAAAAGCUCUGGAAUUAGUCAAAUUUAAAUUUGUAAUUGAUAAAAAUAUAUAUGUAUUUAGAAUAAAAAUGGCAUGUAUGUUUUGCUUGUGAUCUGAAAAGAGAUGAUCAAUUAGGCAAUCCAUUUAUAAUAAAACAGAGGUUAACUAUAAAUUUCAGCCUUUCCAUUUUGAGGUAGUCAUGAAUAUAAUAAUCUAACAUAUAAAAUAUUAACAAAUAUAAUAUCAUAUAGUUUUAUUUUUAUAAAUAUAGUAAAAUUUAAUUAAACUUAAAAGUUUAUUGUAGAUCAUAUAGCUAGUAAAAACUUUAUCAAUGGUAGACCAUAACCCAAUAACAAAAAUCCGUUAAAGAUAGACUAUAUCAUUAACUAAUAAAUGUCCAUCGACGAUAGAAUUUAUCACAUAUAGACUUUGUUAUAUUUACAAUUUUUUUAAGAAUGUUCCUACAUACUUAAUCAUUAACUCUAAAAGCAUUACCUAUUGUAACUACUCUAGAUUUUAUAUAUAUGCCGUAGACUUUGUUAUAUUUAUAAUUUUUUUAAAAUAUUCCUAUAUGUGAUACACUAUUAAGAAUGUAUUGUAUAAAUUGAAAGUUUAUGGGUUGGUAAGCAAUUUCAUUAUAAUUCUAAGUCAUCGUUUAUCCUCUUGUUUUUCUUGCUUUUAGAGCGAUUUGAAGCCUUAAUUUGAUCGAUUCCUUAUUUAUGUUGCUCCAACGGAGGAGUUCGAACUACAAUUCCUUAUUUAUGUAAUUCCAUACAAUAUUGGUCUACCACUGAUAGACUAUACGAAGGGUAUCAGUGAUACAAGUCUAUCAGUGAUAGUUUUACUAUAUUUGCAAUUUUUCUAAAAUUUUGCUAUAUCCUUCAUUAUCAUUGUUGAAAUGGUUAUCCAUUCCAAUUUUCGUUCAAUAUUUAUGUCAAUUGAACUAUGAAAUUGGACUUGUAAGAAUGAUACAUGAAAGGUUGAAAUUUGAUGGAAAUGAAAUUGAUUUACUUCAAAUUCAUCUAUAGGAAGAAGUAAUUUGAACGAAAAGCAUCUAAUUCAUUAUAGUGAAUUGAAAGGUUGAAAAAUGAAUGGCAUCCACGUAAGUAGAUUUGAUUGCCAAAGCAUUUGCUUUUAGAGCUUCCGUUAUGAUUCCACGUGUCAUUCUCACAUCACAUCUACACCCCUCAAAUUAUUUUUAAAUUAAAUCCUCCCAUUUAUUUUCUUCUUGGAAUUGUCAUGAAUAUAAAAAAUAAUAAUAAUAAAUCUAUUUACAAAACAUAGAAUAAAAAAAAUUUAAUAGGAUCGGAAAUUUUCCUAUAUUUUAUAAUUUAAAAUAUCUUUUUUUAUUCGAUAAGAAUAAUUACUCAAACCCUUCCAUUUUAAAACAUAGAUUUCAUCAUUUUCAUCUCAAUUAGCUUGCCCUAUUUUGACACAUUGGUCCAAUUUCUAAUUUAUUUUUCUUUCAACCAAGGAUAAUAUGCAUUUAGGUGUGGAAAAAUGGUGAUUUUCAACCAAAAUUAGCCAAUUAAAUAGAGAGCUUUUAGAUUAUUUUUUUAAUAUAGUAAAAUGAAUUAAAAUAUUUAUAAAAUAAAACAAAAUUUCAUCGUCUAUCUACGAUAGUCCAAAAUAUACUACUAUAUGUGUCUAUCACAAACAGAUGGUAAUAUUUCGUUAUAUUUAUAAAUAUCUUUAGAAGUUUAUUUAUUUGAAAUAAUUUUUCAUUUUUUUUAUAGUGUAUCUAUUAAGGGUAACUUUUUGUUUCAUUUAAUAAAAAUUAGGAAAAACAAUAAGAAUAAAAAAAAAAUAGAAAGAAAGAAAAGGUUAGUCUUAUUAAUAAACCAAAUAAUUUUAGAUAAAACUAUUUUUAGUUCAAAAACUAGGACAGAGGAGACCGAAAAAAGUGUAUUAAGAUAUGCUCAAUUAAGAAAAUAUGAGCAAUGGUUAGAUAAUUUUUUUGUAUUUAAACCAUUACAUACCACCUAGGCUUUGUACUUAAUCUUAAGCUCUCCUUUUCUUUAUUCACAAAAUAUUAAAAAAAUUAUUUAUUUGUAGAAAUGUCAUAGGGCAAUAGUGAAGAAUUUCUUUUUUGGAAAACUCACAAUAAUCAAACAUUUUAGGUUUUACAUUUCAAAAGUAGCGUAUUUUUUAAAAACUUACACUUUUGUUUUUCUGGAGUAAUCUCGGUCGAGAUUGUACCCGUGAUUUUAUGUUUUUGUUUUUAAAAUUCAAAAUAAAGCAUUUGUUCAAAUUAUCAAAAUACCAUUGUUUUUCCAAACGUUUGAUAUUCACUUUGGCCAAACAAGCUUCUCAUUCCGACCGAGCUUGAACGUUUUGCUCUCAAGAUUGACUAAUUUUUGCGUGACAAACCUUGCGAAGUGUAUCCCGCGCUUAAAUCUGUAGAGGUAAUUAAAUUUGAACCAUUUGAUAGUUUAGGGCUUUGUUUUAAAUUUAGUGUUUAAGGUUAUUUGUGAAAUUUGAGGCAAAUGGGUUAUUUGUAUUAUUUCCUUCGACCUAUAACCAUGAUUAACAUUAUCUUGGUACUUCGACUUAAUUAAUUAGGCUAUUAUCCAACUCUUGGCUUCCUUGUGAUCCUGCUUUCGUAUAAUCUUUUCACAUGUGUGAGUACUAGCAUAUACUUAGAAACUUUAAACAUAUCAAAAAAUUUUAAUGGCCCUUAGUUUACACAAACAAACUGAAUUAACGCAUCUUACGACAUAUAAUUUCUUAUUCGAUCUAUGAACACGGUACUAAAAAUUCAUCCUAAGGGCAAUUACAAACAAAUUUUUCACUAACUCUUUAUUUCUUAAAAACAAAUAACCAACUUUAAUAUCUUCAAACUAUGACUCAGCUGAAACGUCAAUAGAUCGAUCCAUCAAUUUUUUAUUAUGCUUCCACUUCUUAACACUGUUGAUUGUUCAUCGUCACAGUCCACUAGGCACUCUAACUGAUCAUCACGAGUCGGGUUUCUAUCACCCACAUGUCCUCUUUCUUCACUUGAUUCUAUACUAAACGUACAUUCAACCCUUGUUGCAAUCGGUGUAUGAUCAUCUAUCAAUUAAAUAUGAUUUACAAAAUGAGUGCUGACAUCCACCUCAGAUACCUCAAACUCCUCAACAUCCACGUCAACAUCAUAAGCAUUCGAUAAAUCUACAUGUACCAUGCUAAUCAAUUCAUUUGCUUUGUCUCUCAAAUCUAAAGGACGCACGUUAGUAGUCAAUGGACUUAAAUCCUAGACCUCAUUCAAGACACCAUUGUAUUUUGGGAUUAAUUGGAGGUUGAGCUCAGGUGACAAUAAUUUAAUGUUUUUUGAACCAUUGGAAUAGUAAUUGACGUCGAAGUACUUCUAGAUUGAUGGGAUGGCAUCAAUACCUUAGAAACCAAAACCGCUACUUGACACACAUCAUCACCAGUUCAAAAAAUUGAAGAUUUUCUUGAUUACUAACAACAGAAGCAGAUACAAUAGGUCAUUAUACAAGCACUUUAGAAUAAACUCGUGCUCAACAUAAUUUAUCCCACAAAUUCUACAAAUUUCUCCUAAAAACUUCUUAAAUUUUAUACUAAUUCGUUGACAUUCAACCCUUUCAUUUGACCUCCAACGUAUUCUUUUUCAGUCUCUUUUCAUUCACCAACAAACAAACAAAUACGCAAGGCACUCUACAAAUAUGCAAAGAAAAAUUAAAAAUACAUCCAAAUCUCAAGGUGAAAUCAUUACACACUCAGUCAAGAUUUGAAACACUAUACAAAUUAUGCGACAAAUACAAAACAACUCAACUGAGAUCCUUAAAUAAAACCCGAGAUUACGUACAAAAAUACCUAAAAGAAAAUGUAAAUUUUAGGCCCUUAGUUUGUAUAGGGGGUUUGUUGUCUAUUGUCGAGAUAUUUGAGGGGUUUGUUGUCCUAACAAAUAUUUUAGGGUAAAAAAAAAAAAGGAAAAUAACAAAAAUAACAUAGCCUAGGUUUUACAUUUCAAAAGGUCUCAUACCAAAAGAGAUAGCUGUCCUUACUUAUAUACCUAUGAUCAUCCCAUUAUCUAAUUGAUGUGGGACUUUGGUCGCAUUACAAUCCUACCCCCAAACAAGUCCUACAUUACAAUUCUUCCCUUGAACAAAUUACUAUGAUCCUCACCUCAAAUAGUCAUUCAUCUGCCAAGCUCUAUCUAAGCUAACUCCUUUUCUCGGAGCACACUGCCCAUCCAAUAAAGUUUAAUCACAUAUCUCAUCAUGACCUACUUUUGAGGUUUUUGAGGCUCUACUACACCUUUGCUCAACACUUGAGGAUCAUACUAGCAUGCUUAAGUUAGAGGCAUGAUUUUGAUAUCAUUGUGGAUGUUUGUUGCCCUAACAAGAAAAAAAAAUUAUAGUUGUUUGACCAAUUUGGUCUACAUCCACUUUAAAAACCAGCUUUGAGGGAUUUUAUUUAGAGCAGUGAAGUUUCAGUUACAAAUAUCAACAAUUAAGCAACAAUCUAUAUUUAUCACGCCAAACCCGACCAUACCAUGACCAAAACACCAAGACACUAAGAGACACACAUGUCGGUUGUUGCCUCUGAUAUCGAGACCCAAAACCCACAAGAAACAACCCCAAAACGAGACCUAGAACUGAUGGAAACAACCUUCUAUGAUUGAAGAUCCACAUGUCGAACACCUAUUACAAAAUACCACAGAUUAUAGAGCACACACAACUGCAUACCACACUCGAAAACUCAUCGCCAAAUGUCAAAAGUGAAGGGAUAAAAGCCCUAUGGUUUAAAGAACCAUUUUUCAAAUUAAUUUGGAAAUCUUAAAAUACCGGUACAUUGGCAAAAUUUUAGAAUCAAAAUUCUAAAUAGAUUCUAAGCAUGCUUUUAAAGAUAAGAUACGAGAACUUACUUUCGAUAACAUCUCUGAAUUUACAAAUCAAUCUCCAAAUUAGGACACCACCCGUCAGAGACCUUGCUAUCCUCUGGGAUGAAAUUGGCUUAUGGGAACUAAUUGAGAUGGAAAAAGGUUUAGAGAUAUUUGGGAGAAACUCUUUUUGCAAAGAAAAAAAAAUGUUCUUUUUUCUUAAUGAACUUGGAUCAAGAAAACUGUUUUCUUCUACAUAUUUAUAGCUCUCUUCUCUUCUUGGAAUAGGAAAAGGAGUAGGAGAGAAUCAUGAGAUUUUUAAUAUCAAAUCUACUAAUUAAUUAACAAUUAACCAAUUAGUUAAUAAUUAAUUAAGUUAUAUUUAAUUAAUAAUUCAUUCAACUCUUAUUUGAAUAAAUAUCUCUCCAACAUCUUAUUAAUAUAAUUAAUUAAAUCAUAUUUAAUUAAUAUAUCUGCAAUAUCAUUUUAUAAAUUUAAUUAAAUCAAAUUUAAUUAAAUAAAACUAAAUUAUUAAUUAAUUCUCCAAUUAAUUAAUAGCUUAGUUAAAUAUAAGAUAUUUAACUUAAAUUAAAUUUGAAUUAUAUUCAAAUAUAAGUUUCUCUCAUAACCAAUAAUUUUAAUAUGAAUCCAAUUCAUAUUAAUAUUUGAACUCAUUCAAAUAUUUUAUCUCUCAUAAAUUAAUUUUGAAUCAUAUCCAAAAUUAAAUUUAUAAUAAAGUUUCACAAACUUUAUAUUAUAAUGUAUCACUGUAUAUUAAACUAAUUCCCUAAGUAUAUUUGAACAUUUCAAAUUACAACCAAUAUAAAUUAAAUCUCAUUACCCUUUACGAGCUAUGAAUGAGACCUAAUGGAUCUACAGAUCAGAAGCUACAAAGAUCUGAGAUCAAUUGGCUAAACUCAUUAACCACAUUAAUCAAUAUUUGUUAAUUGUGUGUACACUCCACUAAAGACUCACAAUUGAACUCUUCUCACUGUAGAUAUAUUUCUAUGUCCACGGAUAUAGACCAAUAACACUAAGUUAGUCCUUCACAAGUGUUCGUAACUCCAGUUGGGUUAAUUUACCGUUUUACCCCUAGGUUACCUUUAAUCCUUAAAUAUUAGUGCUCCUCCAUUGAACAAUCUGUUAAUGGUCUUACCAACAAACAGAAACCUCUCUCGUUUCAUGGAGAGGGUAGGGCCCUUUGUUCAAGACCUGGAGACACCAUGUAAGAGAACACUCAAUCCAUGAAAUUCACUCAUUCCCUACUUACCCUAAAGUAGGGAAUGAGUGAAUUUCAUCUUGUGUAAUUAUGUUCCCAGCUCCUCACUCGGUCUUGUCCCCAAAAUGAUAAGUUUAUUGAGUCGACGAUCCACUCUCACCCAUACAAAUCAAAGGACAAUCCCUCACGAACAGAAGUUCAUUACACACUCAUGAUUAAGACUAAGUUACCUAGGUCAUCCUAGUGAAACAGAAACCUACCUAGUUAAUGGAGUUACAUCUAGUGGUUACUAAUUCGCGGUUCGAUCUUAUGCAAACUCAUUGCAUAGGAUACCCCCACUCACAUGUCAACUACACGAAUGCGUUUGAUCAUUGGGCUUGUAUCAAAUACAAAGUGAUCUGUAUCAAUAGUGUUACCAGGAUAAUGUACCUAGCCUUAUCCCUAUACUAUAGACCCUUUAAGAUGAUUUUGAACAUCGAUCCCUAUAUGUCUCUACAUAUUGUUCAAGACUCAUUAAACAGCUUAGGAUGUUAGUUUAUUGGAUUUGGGUUAUUAAGACAAAACUAAUAAAUUUAAUCAAUAACAAUUAUUAUAAUAAUAACACUUUAUUAAUAACAGGCAAUGUAUUAUAUUUACAAUCUACGAGUUUUAGGACAUAAAUUCCAACAAAAAGAACCGUUAGAACGCCAACGUCAAAUCGCUCAUGACAACGUCAAAAAAAUUCACGGCCAACCCUCCUCUAACAUACUAAACCCUCGUCUACAAUCACUCUUUCCCUUUUUGGUUUUGCUGAAAAGUCACUUUUUUUCUCUUUAUAUGUGAAUGUCGACUGCCUCACUCUAUUAGUGUGUUUUUUCUUUUGGUUGCCCCUCUUCUUUUCUCCUCAAUUAAGAGACCUAAAAUAAAGAUGAAAGUAAUUGCAAAAAUGUCAUUGAAACAAUUUACAAUUCUACCCCUAACAAAAAAACCCAUUUAAAUACUCUUAAAUAAUUUGUCAUUUUCCGCAAAUCUCCCUUACGACAAACUAUUUAAGACACCAAACUCCUUCUCCAAACAUCCUAAUCGAGAUUUAACCUUUAGCUCAUUUAACAAGUAUUUAAACCUAUGAGCUGUAAGAACUUUGGUUAACAUAUCUGGCAAAUUCUCAACUAUAUGAACUUUGAUCAGUUCAACAUCUUUUUUAGCAAUAACAUUUAUGAUAUGAUGAAAUUUGACAUCGAUAUGCUUAGACCAUUCAUGAUGAGAUGGAUUCUAUGCAAGAUGUAUAGCACUCUGGCUAUCACAACGGAUGACAGGAAUAAACUUCUGCAAUAACAACUCACCAACAAUCCUUUUCAACCACAAACAUUUCAAUGCUCCUUCGCAAAAUUUGACAUAAACCUACUUAUCAUAUUCAUAGCAUAACCUAAGUGAGGCCUAGUACAAAUCAUCAAAUACAUAAUACUUCCAAUAGAAUUACAAUAAGGAAUAUUAGACAUCUCUAACCUUUCUUGUUCAAUAACAGGACAUUGAAACGAAGAAAGUUUAAAAUGAGAUGCUAAGGGUGUUGAAAUUGUCUUGCAAUCAUUCAUAUUAUACUUUUUAAGUUAUUUAAGCACAUAACUCUUCUGCAAAAUGGUUAACAAACCUUUGUCCCUGUCUCUUUUCACAUCCAUGUCUAGGAUCCUUUUUAGUUCACCUAAAUCUUUCAUCCCAAACUCAUUACUCAACUGUAUCUUGAGUUCACAAAUUUUAGUAUAAUCCUUAGACACUAUUAUCAUAUCAUCUACAUACAAAAGUAGAUAGAUAUACAUACCUUUAUGAGAUAGUUUUCAGUAAACACAAUCAUCAUAUGAUGUCAUGUGAAACCCCUACUUUAAAAUAAAAGUAUCAAACCUGAUAUACCACUGUCUUGGAGAUUGCUUCAGUCCGUAGAUGGAGUUGUGAAGACAACAAACCAUGUCUUUCUUACCUUUCAUCUCGUAGCCUCUUAGGUUGAGUUAUGUAAAUCAUCUCCUCAAGUUCUCCAUAAAGAAAUGUUGUGGUGACGUCCAUCUGUUCAAUAAACAUAUCAAAGUGAACAACAAUAGAUAAGAUUAAUCUAAUGGAUGAAUGUCUUACCAUCAGAGAGAAAAUCUCAUGAACGUCAACUCCCUCCUUCAUAGUGUAGCCCUUGGCUACCAAUCUAACCUCAUACCUAGGCUUAUUGUUACCUCAUGUACUUGGCUUGAUUUUGUAAAUCCACUUUGAUUGAAUGAGUUUCUGAUUAGGAGGCUUUGGAACCAAUGACCAUGUCUGAUUCUUUUACAAUGAGAACAAUUUUUUGUUUCCAUAGCAUCCUUCUAUUUCUUCCAUUGUUUCUUCGAAUCAAAUACAAUUGCCUCCUCAAAAGUAAAAGGCUCUGCUUCAAUACUGUCAGUUUCACAAGUAAGAGCAUAAGCAACUAAAUCAACAAAAUCAUACCUUGUAGAAGCAUGUUUCACCCUUUAAGCCCUCUCUCGAGUAAGCUGAUUGUUUGGUAGGUCAUUGUUACUUGAGCUUUUUGCACUAGAAGCUCCCCCAUCAAACAAAGUCCUCUUCUAUUGAGAUUGUUCACCAUCAGAUUCAGACUAUUGUAUAGCCUCUGCCUAUGAAACUAGUGGUGACUAAUCACCAGAUACAACUAAACCAAUUGAUCGUUGUACUUUAGAAUUAAUUCUAACCUUUGUCACAACAUGUUCAACUAUAUGCUAUUCCGGCCACUCUUUGACACAAAACGACAUUUCUGUCUCAUUAAAAGUUACAUCUUUACUAUUAAUGCAUUUAUUUAUGCCCUCUUCCAAGCACCAAAAUUUAUAUAACCUUUGACACCCCUGAAUAAUAAAUAAACAUGUAUUUUAGUGCCCUCCUGUUCAACUUUUCAUCCUUAACAUGCUAAUAUAUUAAGUCACAAUUUUUAGAUGUGUGUAAUAAUGGUUUAAACAAGGUUAAUGAAAUAUUAGAGAGAAAUGUGUGUAAUUAGAUUAACAACUUCAAUGUAUACAAGCAGUUUUUCUCAUUUUUUUCUUUUCUAUUUUUCUCCGCACAUUUAAGUAGAAUUACAUCAAAAUUACUUUUAUCAUAUUGUAGAAUUUUAAAAGAAACUAUUUAUUUAGAUUACAUUUUCAAGUAUUUAGUUUAGAAAAUAAGUUAUUUAAAAAAAGAAAAACUGCAAGUGUUUGGAAACCCUCAAAAUAGAUUCUUAAGUGUAUUUUAAACAAUUUUAAGAGUUUAAACAAGAAUGAGUUUCUUGAAAAACAUUUUUUCUUAAUUUAAUUUAAAUGGACCCUUAAUACCACUUAAUUAAUUUAAAAUAGAAUUAAAAGUUGUUUGUAAAUAAAGGACUACCCAUAGAUUAAUUCUCACACUUUUUGUGUCUCACUUCAUCAUCGUUUGUGUGAUUUGUGAAUAUCCCAACGUAACAUGUCAACCUAACGUAAGGUUGUUUGCAGGUUGGGUUAGGUAAAAGGUCUUUUUAGACCCAACACACUUAUUUGGCGUAAAUUUUAUCGAUUCAAAUAACCCUCUAUGUCCAACUCAAUCAUUAAAAAUAUUUAGGUUGGAUUGGUUCGAGUUUGUCAAUGUCAAAUUUAAAUUUUGAAAAAUUAUUUUAAAUAACAAAAUUGUCCAAAACAUUUAGAAAUAUAGAAAAUUUCACAAUUUAUUAGUGAUAAAUACUCAUAGAUAUUGAUUAAUAUAUCAACAACUAUCAAUGAUAUUUUAUAAAUAUUUUUGUUCAUUUUUUCAUCAACAGCCUAAUCAUAAUAAGUAAAAAAUUGAUUUAAUUAUUUUCAUAUAUUGAAUUAAGAUUAACCAUUUAAAUUUUAUUUUAUAUAAUAAAACUUUUCUUUCCAAAAUGUUAAAAAAAAAUAGAUUUUAGAGAAUAAAUCAUUCAAAAAUAAUGAAGUCAAGUCAAUUCUAAGUUCGGUCGAACCAAUAAAUCAAUCCAAAUCAUAAAAUUUUUAUUUAUUUAAACUCGACUCAACUCAAGUUUUUUCAAAGUAAUUGAGUACUAUUCAAAGUUAUUGAGUUUUUUUAACACCCUUAACCAAUCGUUACCAAUCUUAGGGAAAGAAUCAAUUUCCCAACAUUGGAACAUUAAAAAAAUUAAAGUAAAGAAACCAAAAAUAUAUAUGAUAUAAAGAGCAUUUUCAAACAUAGUAAAACAAACUAAAAUAUUAACAAAAUUUCUAUCCUUGUAAUUUUGCUAAUAAAUAAUUUUGUCAAAUUUACUAUCCCAGGUAUAAUCUAUAUAACCAUUUUGGUUUUUAGUUUUUUUACUUUUCAAAAGUAUAACUGAUAAUCAUCGGUAUUUUGUUGUCUACUUCAGGUACAUUUUCAAAAUCGAAAUCAAAAUUUGGAGGAAAUAAAAGUACUCAAAAACUUGCUUUCUGUUUUUUGAAAAUGGGCUAGCAAUACAAAUGCUUAAAUUAAAAUUUAAAAUAAAAAUAAAAGAAAUAAUGCGUAAAAGAUUGUGGGAAAAUAUAUAUAUAUAUAUAUAUAAUUUUAAAAAACGCGAUGGUUAUCCAACAAGCUCUUUAUAUAUAAGUUGGUUUUGUAUACAAAGGUCCCAGAAUUUUUUACUCAGUAAUCAACAAGACAAACAUCGCAUUGUGUGUAACUUAAAGCAUACCAACUCUUUAGGUGAACAAUGGCUGAAAUGCAUCAGGUAAUGGUAUGGAGUAGGAUUAGAAACCAGUUAUUUACAUUUCAUCAACUAUGAAGAAAAAUGGGUAAAAUACAACUCUCAAUCAAUCACCCCAAAACCAUCUCUCCCUUGUACUUUUCCUCAACACUAUCUAUAAACUAACUUCCUUCUAACAAAUUACAAAUCUCAUCCUUCUUCAGCCUUGUACUGCCAAAAUUUGUAGGUGUUCUAUAAAAACCUCCAAGCUUAAAUCAUCUGUAAGGAUUAUGUCUGAUCCCUCCUUGUAAGUUGAGUUUUGCGUAACAGACGGGUUUAACUUAGCCAGAAGAAACCGUGCUUGACUACUAUGUUGGUCACACUUUAUAAGCUUAGGAACUGGAAUACGUUCAGCGAUCAAUUGUUCAGCAUCGAUCUCUGGGGCCUCUAGUAGCUUUCUCAAAUUUUCUAGAUUCGAGUCCUCAUCAUAACCAAGCUUCCUCCACUGAGCAAUCUUUGAACCAUAAUGAAUGACAACGUAGAAGUAGGAAUCAAAUAGCAAAAUCACAUCUGGGGAUAUGGAUCGAAUAUCUAGGAGUACAGGAACAGGAGGUCCAUCAAAAGAGUAGAGGAAAAGAGUAGGUUGUAUCAUGAUAAGUGAACCGACAACUCCCUCACGGUUUAGCAUUAAUCGGAAGAAAGCAGUUUCAUCAGGACAACUGUUGAAGACGUCAAUAAACUGGGAUCUUCUUAGGUAGUACAUGAAUUGAGGGUACAAGGAGAAGUUAGAUGACAAACGGAAAGUUGAAGGAUCCUCUUGUAUAUAAUCACCAAACUUCGAGGCAAAACGGAUUAAUGUGUCAUCAAGCCAUCUGAUAACAUCACGAGCAUAACACGUCUCUGCUCGAUGAAUAGCAAGCCUAGCCAUCACUGAAGCGGCUGCUUCUUGAUCAAACCCAGCCUUGAUUUCUGGUGAAUGGUUUGCGACCCAUCUCCUAGCAGCAGUGGUCACUCUUUUCCGGACCGCUAGGUUUCCUUUUCUGUAUUUUGUUAUAAAUUGGAUGAAGAACGCAGAUCCAGGUUGAACCUUCUGCUCCUCACUCACUUGGAAGAAAAAGGAAAUGCAGGUUUUACUGGACAAUGUAUUCAGCUUCCAAAUGUAAGUACCACCUUCGCCAAUUUCGUUGUCGCUCACCGAACUGUUAGGUCUAUGAAGAGACAUGCAAGGUCCAAGGGCACCACAGAUUUUUACAUCCUUUGAGGUUACUAACUCGAUUGUUGCAUCAAAAUACAUAUUCAAAUCACCAUCUUUAUCUCGACUAAAACUAUGCCGCAAGCACUUCUUGAAUUGAUUCGACUCAAAUGACUCUCCUAACAUCAUGAAUCCACCAGAGUUUUCAACUGGGACUUUUAGCUCUGCUGCUCCAACUUGAUCAAGAGAGCAGGCAAAAAGAUCAAGAACAAUAGAUCCAUCACACAACCUCUGUGACAUUUCCUUAUAGAAACUACAAGAUUUUCUAAAGUAAGGAGCCUGACCAUUAAGAAUGUCUCCAUGCGUUCUGAUAGAGUAAGCGAGAUCCGAAUUGACAACAAUACCUGGACCUACAGUUGCAGGGCCAGAGGUGAAAACCAUGACACGAGAACCCGAAUUUGCUCGGCAUCCUUCAAGAAGUGCAACUGCAGCUGAUAUUGCAGCACCAGUAGCCCUCUGAGGUCGAUGGCCAGGUAUGUUAAGCAAAGUCUUCAUCUCUUCAAUUGCAGUAGUGAUGUUGAACUCACAUUCAGAUAUUGGCAACAAAAAUCCUUGUGCUGGAACAACUGGCGUGUUUCCCAGCUGCAUCUGCUUCAUCCCAUAAAUUCCCAACAAUUGUUGGGUCUGAGGGAUUCAAAAGCAAAGCAAGGAAUCAGAACAAUGUCCCUCGUUCCAUGAUUCAAUUCAACAUCUCUUAAACCUCACUAACUAAAAAUAGUAAAUAAGAUAUCUCUUUUAUCCAGAAACCAAUGCCUUUAAAGUCUCUACAUUAGAAGAUGGUAUCCACAUUGUGCAGUAAAUGGUAUCAGAGACUCGUAACGAUAGAAAAUUAAAACAGAGAUUCAAAUAUUAAAAAAUACCUGAAGUGAUGAGAGCUCACGUUCCCCAGGAAAGAGGACGACCCUUGAGCACUCAGAAAAUUUAAGGUCAUAAACAUGAACCAUUGAAUCAAAAGAAAUCAACCCCACUAAAGCAUUCUCCGGCAGAUGUUCCACAACGAGUAAUAACUCAUUUUUAAGUGCUUGAAGCUCCUUCUCUACAGAACAACUAUCAACAACGAACACAAAAGCGGGCCCAUUUCCACGGGAAUCUCCAGCCGGCAGCGACGAAGAAGCUGAUACUGAAAGAGAAGAAGAUGAAUGAUUCCUUGCAUAGCUAGGGCUCAUAUUGACAUUGGAACCAGAAUUCGCAACAGGGCUCUCCAUCUUUCUACCGGGCGCAUAUUCCACCGUACUGUAAGUCGGAAAAAGCUCUGCGGGAAGAUUAGUCUCCCCAAUACCAGCAUAAGAACGAGGGAACGAAUUCUUCUGGUAGCAAAAGGAGCAGAACCAAAUGCGAGACGUGUAAUCAACACGAGCAUAGGGGUUCAAAACAGCACCACAUUUAAGACACAAGAGAGGUUCAUAAGAAAGUGUAGGGAGCUCGACGGAUUGCAUCAAGGGCGUACACAUAACACUGAGAGGGAUUACGAGAGCCAACGAUUCAGGUUUGGAAACUGGCCAGGAGUUCCAUGACCAUCGGAGGCCUUCGAUCGCCUCAAGUUCAACGAAAUCCAUAGGAAAAUGGACGUCUCAAGCAAAAGCCCUGACCGUCGAUUACAUGGAAAAGCUCCGAAAUGAAAGUAACCCUAAUUUCGCAUCAGAAAGAGGUGGGAGACGCAGAGUGGGGUUAAUUUAAUGGGGGGAAUCCUGAGAAAUGAAGAAAUCGAAUGGCUUUUGCGGUGGAAAAGGAAAAAGUAAAAGAGAAGGGGGUUGAAGUUGGUUGUGGAAGAGAGAGUUUGGUUAUUGGGAAAGUGAAAGAAAAAGGGGAGAGAGUGAAGGAAAAGGCAAGGGUUAGGUUUAGGGUUUGGGAAUGCGAUCGCGGGAAAAAUGAAAGGAAAAUUGAUCGGAAAUGUUGAUUUGAGGGAGAAAAAGUUCAAAAUUAUGUUGGAGAAGAAUUGUUUGAGAGUUCCAGUUCUUCAUCAUCUUCCCCCCCAUUGUUUCUGCUUUCAUUUGGUGCGGGAAGGAAUACUCAUUAAAAGUGGUGAUCCAAGCCUUCCAAUAGUAUACUGCCACGUCAGAGUUACCUUUUUUUUUAAAUUUUAUUUUAAUGAAAUUACUUCUUCCCUGCCAUAUUUAAAAAGUACUUUCGGAUAAUUAAAUCUUUAAACCACACUUGGGAUGCAAGUACGUAAAUUUUAUUUCUAAAUCAAGAUCACUUCACACCUCUAAGGCUCUAACCACUUAUUCCAUACAAUUCAAUAUCUUUUAUAACUUCUCUCACAUAAAUAUCUUACUUUACUCCCAUCAAACUAUUACCCUUUAAUAUAAAUAAUAAUAAAAAGUAGCAUGAGUACCAAAAUAUUGAGAAACUCAUAAGGUGGCCCAAUGAGCCCAUAUGACAAAGGCUUCCAAUUUUUUCUGGCCCAACUAUCGGUUGGGUUGGGUUGGGCCUGACAUGGACCCAUCAAAUAAUUAAAUUAUUUGAUUAUUUGAUUAUUUGAUUAUUUGAUGGAGAUCAUUCAAUUAAUAGACUUCAUAAUCGUUAACAUAUACUAUAAGAUCAAUGGAAUCAUUGAUAGGAUUGUUAAUAUUAAAAGGGGACGUAAUUAGCAUUAAAGAAUGGCAUAUGGAGGGGGGGAAACUGAAGGAUUGUGUUCCGAAGUCUCUUUAUAUUUUAGAAUAAUAAUCAGGAUUAAAGAAUAUGAAUUGAAAGUUUGACUUUUUAUGGUCAAAGAUUAUUUAUGAGAUUGAAUCUGAGUCAAAUAUUCUCAUUGUUCCCUUCCCUCACCUUUCAAUAUUUGUAAUGUAUUCAAAACAACUUUCUAUCCGAUCAUUAUAUUUUCUAUGUACUCAAUAUAUUGUAUACAUACAUAAAUAAAUAAGAUUGACUACUUCAAUUGUGUACAAGUUUUAAUACGGAGAUAACUCUAACUCUAAUUCUAGUACAUUCAGGAUAUAAUUGUUGAAUUAGAUUAGAAGAAAUUGAUUAAACCAAGAAAUAUAAAUGCUACAUAGAGGAUUUAUACAGAGAGUUGGACGUAUAAAAUGAACCAACUAGAUAUACACAACUAUAUAUUGAGAGAAUCCGCCGAUGAGUUAAUACUCAAUUAGCAGUUACACUAUCAUUGUAACAUGUGUAUAUAGUACUCUCAACACUUCCUUUAUGGCUUUCAUCCAUUGAGAAUUCAAAUAGUGCACUUAGUCACUCAGAGGUCGAGGUCUUCCUCCAUAAAUCCUUUUCCUUGAGAUCCUCUGAUCCUCCUAUGAGCUCUUCUCUAUGGAUGUCACUAAGCUCUAGGCUAAGUUGAUCUCCCACGUGGAUUCUUCUUUCGUGAGUUUUUUUUCUUUCUUUCUUUUUUUUGUCUUACUAAGCUCUUAGAGGCUCUACAAUGAGCAUCUUGAGAACCACCAAGCUUACAUUUGUAAGGGCUCAAAUGAGCUUUCUUUGAGCUCUUUUAGACUUCCCAUGAAUACCAAAGCUUUCAUUAAUAAUCUCUUUUAAGCUCUUUAGAGGUCUCAGCUCUAAGCUCUCUCAUAAGCUCUUCUAAGCUUACUUCACGUGUUUCUCUGAGUUCUCUCUAAUCUCUUUUAGGCCACUAUUAAAAAAAUAGACUCUUUCGAUGUUUUUUUAAAGUCAAGAAUUUAUGUUCUAAUUAUCAUUUUUAAAACCAUCCUUGAAGCCAACGUCAAGAAUUUGAAAUUCAUGAUCAUUAAUAAAUGUCAAGAACAAUGAACGCGCUAACAUUUAAUAAACGUCAAGUAUAUUGAUGUUCAUGACAUGUAAAAAACGUCGACAACAAUGUCUCACUUGAUAUGAGAAAAUUUUCAAUAAGUAACUAAAUGUUCAGCUUCAAUCAGCCAAUGUUAUGGUGGAAAGGUUAAAAAUAGAGUUGCAGAUUAAAAAGAAGACUAUCUAAUUGAUUGGGCUAAUCUCUUGUCGAUUGUAUUGCUGAUUUUUUCCUUCUAGUUGUUUGGUGGUGUUUUUCGUUUACUAUUGGUAGAAGAUACGAACUAUUACUUUACUUUCUGAUAUCUGGUUCUUUGUGGGUCGAUCUUUUGAGCUAUGUUUGAUUUUUAGUCAUUUUGUGAAGCCUCUAUAGGUUCAUUUCAUCGCUAUUUCCAAUUCUGGGUACUUCUCUUUCUUUCUUUUGGAUUUUCUCUUCUUGUUAGUUGCUUUCUGGUGUACUUCUCAAUCCCCUUUCAUUUUGUUGAUUCUUUCCUUUGCUUUUUGGAUGGCUUAACUUGUCGUCUCCUUUGAUGUAUUUACUUUUUAGUUAUUCUCUAGCUCUCUAUUGUAAUAUUUUACUCUAAAAGUUAUAAUGCAUCCCUUUUGGUGUUGAAUGUGUUUAAUUAGGUAUGCUUAAGUUAUGUCAUAAUCUCAACGAGCCUUCGCUUCCUCUACCUUUAAUAUCUCGCUAAUUAAAAAAAAACAUUGUUAAAAGUAAAAUAAGAAAACAAAGAAAAUAGUUUUUUAUUUAAAAAAAUAACUCAACUGAAAUAUCAAAGAUAUAUACCGUUCAACCCUAAUGGUUGAAAUUCAAACACGUAUGCUUUAUCUUUAUAACGGUGAGUACAACACAUGACUAGUUGAAUCAUGCUAAAUAAUUUGUAUUUUACAUCAUCAAUUCAUAUAUUCAUUUUAUUUAUCCUAACUUCAUUAAUCCCCCACGUUAAUCAUCAGUCAAAAAAGUCACCAGUUAUAACUUACAAACAAAACAAUGAUGAGAUCAAAGAGCACAAGCAACUUUAAUAUGUCAAUAUAUGCCAGAUCCAAGAAAACCCUAACAUAUUAUAUAUCUUCCUUUCGUAUAUAUAAAAUCUAGAAAACAAAAGGUGUGUCAUUAGCAAUAAUCAAAAUGAAAAUAUUAAUUAUAUAUACCUUGACCCAUAAGUUAAUUAAAUUUGUGCUUCUAACCACCAUCCAUGGCAUAGUAUUCCAGCAUACAUUUAUAAUAUUCAUAUUAUUUGAUUAUGAUUAUUCCCACCAUAGACUAUAUUAUAAAAAUAAAAAUUCUUUAAUUGAAUUUCCAUUACUCAUUGCCCCAUUAACAUGCUGGCACAUGCCCUUGUUCCCUCUCUAUGGGUCCCUAAAUAUUUAUAUAUUUUUUUUCUCCUCACCCAUAAAAAUCAUUACACAAAUACCAUAAAUUAAGGUAUAUAAAAAUAAUACAAAGAAAAAAAAAUAAAAACCAAAAAGAAUCUUCUUUAAUUUAGUUUCUUCCCACAUAAUUAAUACAAUGAGAUUUUAUAAGCAUAAAAACCCAUUUGACAACCAAACAAACAAAUGGGUGUGAUUAUUAAGCAAAAAAAUAAAAAUAAAUAAAAAAAACCUAUUAUAUAUAUUGGAAAAUUAAUUAGUGGUAAUAAUAAUAAUAAUAAUAAUUAAACAUAACAAACAAACCAACCAGACAGACAGUAGGUGAAAGUUUACAGCUUUUCAUGUCUCUUCUAUUACAAAUAUUGUCCCCAACAACAGAUCAUUUGAUAUUUUCCUUUAUAUACUAAUUAAUAAUUUAAACAAAAAACAACAUUAAUUUUUUUAAAAGAAGAAAAAAAAGAAAAAAAAAUACACAGAACAACAUGCAAGUUUCCAAGCUGGAACACCAUAUUCUUCACAAAACCACUUUCUCAAUCUCAUCUCUUCUCAGCUAGCUUCUGCUUUUGCAUUUCUCCAUAGCUCUUGGGGCUGAAAUUUUGAAAAAAUAUAUACAUAUAUUUAUAACAUCAAUACCAAAAUUAUUUUAAUAUUGUUUUUUGAACUAUAACUGAGGUUAUUAUUGGGAAAAUUGAAUUAGGGUUCUUAAUAAUUAAUUACCAAGGCCAAUGGCUUC